AAGCGCAUGAGUUUCACUUAUUAGGGUCACACAAUUAAUUGUAUUCUGAACCACUAAAACACUAAGAAAUACAACAAUGCUUCUUCUUAAUAACAAUACUCCUUCAUCAACUGAUAACCACAAUGUGCAAUCUUCACUCUCAAAAGACUGCUCAAAAUUCAAUAAAUUCCAUGCAACACCAGGAAUAAUAGACUUCACUCUAACCAAUCUGUAUUCACAAAAUUCCUCUAAUCAUAGACUUCCUCUAUCAAAACACACACACACAACUCUCAAUAAACAACAAUUAUAAUCUUCCAUCCAUAAUCAAUCUUCCAAUAACUUUUCAUAUAAUUCAAUCAUUCAGUAUUCCAAUUACAUAAUCAAUAACUCAUAAAUCAAUCUCUAAUUUAUUCCACAAACUCACUUCUCAAUAUUCAGAAACUAUCCAUCACUCUUCAACAACAAAAAAAACAAAAAAAAACAAAGAGGAAGCAUCAAGCUUAACCUCGGCUCAUGACUAUCACAGUCUCGCACUCCAACAAACUUCUACAACUCCUAUAUAAUUGCUACUGAUUUCCAGAUCCUAAUCGUAAUCCUAUAAUAACCGCUUUUAAUAAUUGAAUCAAU
rnacentral:lncRNA from 1 species